AUGGGUGUGGUUCCCCUCUGCUUGGCCCUGACCUGCAUCUCCUCCCUGCAGGCUGAAGGACCUGUAUCCAUCUCUGUGCUAAUUGCAGAGGAGAUGCGGUGCCAGCUCACUCUCUGGGAAGAAAGCGGCAGGAACCAAUUUGAAGAGCCACAUAAAUAUGGAAGUAGGAUUUUUUUUGGCGUGGGAGGUGUUACCAGCACCACACAUUACGGUUCCUUGGCUUUAUCACACCGUAGGCUUUUAUCGAGACAUGAGUAAGUUCUCUAAAUAAGGAAUAUGAAAAUAGCUUGUGAAAUAGGUUGAGUCAUCAGAGAAAAUCAAACGAAGCUUUGACACUGGGGCCUCGGUUGUAAAGUCCUACCGUGUUCUACAGUUUGCAUUAUAAUCAUUGGAGUCAUUUCAAUCUGUUUACUUCAGCUUCAGAAAUUCAAAGCACUCUGCCAUCUUCGUGACUGUCAGCCUUACUUACCAAAUGGGUCUGUCUUUCUGCUGGCAGUGGUGUUUCACCCGCCCCUGAAUGCCUGCAGAGAAUGUAAAGGUUACCAAGAGAAAUGGCUGCUGUGGCUACAGCUGAGAUGCCCCGCAAUUCUUAUAGAUUCCUCUAGUCAUUAAGGAGGAUUUAUGGCCCCUAGACAUCCUUUUCAAGUACUAGCUUCCCUCAUGGAAGUCCCUGGCUGUUGUUUGUAGCUUCUGGGAAUCUUGAAUUGGAGAGGGCCAUUUUCCAGGCUGGGUUUUAAUGAACUACUCAUGUUAGUAAAGUUACUUACAUGAGUAAGCAUUCAUCAGGCUGAAGUCUCCAAGUGAACCGAUCAUGUAGUUUUACAUGCUCUCUCUCUAUGAAUGGGGGUUUAUUUCUGUCACACAGAUACUCCAUUUCUGAGACUCCUUUGUAGAGCAGACAGCGGUUGAUAGUGAGUCAUCCCUCCUUAUUAAAUUGCCCCUCCAUCAUGAGCUGCCUGCAGGCGCUGCUCCAAAGCCCAUUGACUGCAGCAGGAGGAUGGUUUCCAGACACAAAGGGUGCUGGAUCGAGCCCUAGAUGAAUCUUUAUUUGAAAUCUGUAUUUUAAGGAACUGUUUGUUCUAAUUGGAACUAGAAUCACUGCUACCUUGGAAUGGAAUAUUGAGGUCUAUGGGACUAAAACUGGGACAACGGAUAUAUCCUAUCUGCUGUAAUGCCUCCAGUCAUGUUAAGUCAAGUUAACUGGAAAAUCAAUUGACAUGAAUUCCAGCAUGACUAUUAGCUGCUACCCAGCUGAGCC
rnacentral:lncRNA from 1 species